AGGAAACAACAUUCCUCUGAUGCUAACUGGUGCUUCUGAGAGCAAAAUGUCAGGGAGGAGAGAAGCAUGGCCUCUCGAGACAAACCCAGGCUGCUAAGAAUGUAAGCUCUGGUCUCACUUUGCGUUCCAGCCAAACACCUAAGUGCUCCUUUCUAUGACCAAAGAAUUCUUCACUGAUUAAAAUCUGGUUACAAAACAAGGGACCUAGAGAGAUGUUCACUUCACCACUUCUCUACAGAUGCCUCCUGCUGCUUCCAACUUUUCUCCUUUAAGGCAGGGUGAAUCCAAAUCAUGGUCUUAGCCCUGAAGGAGGCACCAAAGCAGUUUCGUUGCCCUGUGAAAAGCUUCUAGAGGAGCUCAUCUGAAUGCUUGAAGAAACCAGCCGCCCU
rnacentral:lncRNA from 1 species